GGGCCCGCACAAGCGGUGGAGCAUGUGGUUUAAUUCGAUGAUACGCGAGGAACCUUACCAGGGCUUAAAUGUAGUCUGACAGGGUGGAACACCCCCUCCUUCGGGCAGAUUACAAGGUGCUGCAUGGUUGUCGUCAGCUCGUGCCGUGAGGUGUCAGGUUAAGUCCUAUAACGAGCGCAACCCCUGCCGUUAGUUGCCAGCAUGUAAUGAUGGGAACUCUAACGGGACUGCCGGUGCAAACCGCGAGGAAGGUGGGGAUGACGUCAAAUCAUCACGGCCCUUACGUCCUGGGCUACACACGUGCUACAAUGGCCGGUACAGAGGGCAGCCACACCGCAAGGUGGAGCGAAUCUUCAAAGCCGGUCUCAGUUCGGAUCGCAGUCUGCAACUCGACUGCGUGAAGCUGGAAUC
rnacentral:rRNA from 1 species